AAUAGAUACCCCGGUAGUCCACGCCGUAAACGAUGAGUGCUAAGUGUUAGAGGGUUUCCGCCCUUUAGUGCUGCAGCUAACGCAUUAAGCACUCCGCCUGGGGAGUACGGCCGCAAGGCUGAAACUCAAAGGAAUUGACGGGGGCCCGCACAAGCGGUGGAGCAUGUGGUUUAAUUCGAAGCAACGCGAAGAACCUUACCAGGUCUUGACAUCCUCUGACAACCCUAGAGAUAGGGCUUUCCCCUUCGGGGGACAGAGUGGCAGGUGGUGCAUGGUUGUCGUCAGCUCGUGUCGUGAGAUGUUGGGUUAAGUCCCGCAACGAGCGCAACCCUUGAUCUUAGUUGCCAGCAUUCAGUUGGGCACUCUAAGGUGACUGCCGGUGACAAACCGGAGGAAGGUGGGGAUGACGUCAAAUCAUCAUGCCCCUUAUGACCUGGGCUACACACGUGCUACAAUGGAUGGUACAAAGGGCUGCAAACCUGCGAAGGUAAGCGAAUCCCAUAAAGCCAUUCUCAGUUCGGAUUGCAGG
rnacentral:rRNA from 1 species